UACAGGGGGUGCAAACGUUGCUCUGAAUUAUUGGGCGUAAAGCGCGCGUAGGCGGCUACCUAAGUCGGAUGUGAAAGCCCCUGGCUUAACUGGGGAAGUGCACCCGAAACUGGGUAGCUAGAGUGCAAAAGAGGGUCGCGGAAUUCCCGGUGUAGAGGUGAAAUUCGUAGAUAUCGGGAGGAACACCGGUGGCGAAGGCGGCGACCUGGGUUGACACUGACGCUGAGGCGCGAAAGCCAGGGGAGCAAACGGG
rnacentral:rRNA from 1 species